rnacentral:lncRNA from 1 species
CUCGGGCCUGGCUCGCCCGCGGGCGGAUGGCUCCGGGUCUCUGCUGCUGAGGAUGUGGCUGCCGGGCGGAGGUCGUCCACUCCCCUGGGCCUUUCUCCGCGAGCCCUCCCACGCCGCCCGCUCCUCUCCCGGGGCGAAGGGCGGGGACGAGGCGCGCCGAAGCCCCGAGCUGAAGAGAAGGGUGGGGGCAUGAGGGCGCUGGAGUGAGGAACAGAUUGGAGCCUUCCCACUUCCUCUCCAAUCUCAGCCCCCGGGAGGAGGGGUGAGGCCCUCGAGGGGGCCCGGAGUUAAGGAGGAAUAGACCGUUUCUCUCUCUCCUGUCUCCCCCGCCUCUGCCCGUCUUCCCUCUAAGCCGGCCUCUAGGUGCAGAGGCUGACGUCCAGGAUGGGGACCGGGGAAGCCUCUGGAGGGUAUAUCCGGGAAGGCACCAAGGCUGAAGUGAGAGCGGUUCUGGGGAAGGCUUUAAAAAGCAGAUAUGGACCAGGGUAGAGUUCGUACGCUGUAGCUUUUCAAGAACACCGAUCUCAUUAAUUAAAGAACAGCAACUAUUUAAUUCCAGUUAUAAACUAUUGUUUUCCAGUUAGUCUGGGUAGGUGUGGCCGUUUGUAGAAUAGUUAGAUUACAUUAGUCUAUUGCGUUGGUACAGUUGUCUAUAGCUUGAGCAUAUAAAAACUCCUGAGCCCAGCAGAAAAGUUACUUUCCAAUACCAGUCUCCAUCCUCCGUGCUUUGGAAGUUGCAUCGUUUUCCGGUUUUUCGUACUCAAAGAACACUGUCAAUUAUGACAGCUCUGUGACCUCUGCAAAGAAAGAUGCAGUCUAGCACCUCAGUUAAGAAUAUGGACUCUAAAGUCAGACUGCCAGGCUUCAAAUUCCAGUUCUGCGACCUCAGCAAAGUUACUUAACCAAGCUCUCAGUGCCUUGUUUUCUUCAUCUGUAAAAUGAGGAUGACGUCACAGCAUUGUUGAGAGAAUUAAUACAGGCUCCAGACUUGUGAAUGGAGAAGUGUUGAGGUGACCCCAGCUCCAGCCACCAGCUGACGACAACCAUACCGGAGAUCCUGAGAGCUGCCUAGCUGACCCCAGGCACCCCCCAGACUUAUUCAGCACUUAGAAGAAUGCCAGGCAGGCUUUCCCCACCAACCAAGAUGGAAUAACAGGGAAAAGACAUACCCUUCUAUCUUCAAUAAUUGGAAACCCAGACAAAGUUUAUGAAACGCUGGUUUUCAAGACAUAGGACAUCAGACAAUCAAGGACAGUAAACACUGAGAUGGGAAACAAACAAGGUGAGUACUGCAAUUGCCCAACAUUACUAGCUGGAAAGAGUUUCCCGACCAUGGCAGAGGGAGGAGGAUCCUUUGAGGUUCUGUGGUGUCCCUGAGUUGAGGAGACAAAGUUGAAAUUCCAGAGUGGUCAAGGCAGCUGGAGUUUGUAGAGCAGAGUACCAGAAAGAAAAUAGAUGCACAGAGAGAACCUCAGAGAUCUGCAAAAGAUCUCAGCUCUUCAGCUGUGCACCUAUCAGUACAUGCAUGUGACAAAGCACCCCAAGGCCAGGGGAAGAAUCACCUGAAAGUAUGAAGAGAAGAAUACUUGGAGCAUAUACAAACCAGGAAUAAUUUCAGUUCUCACCAGCCAAAUUGGAAGACCCCAUAGAUAACAGGCAUUAGGUAGAGCAGGGGUCCCCAACCUCCAGGGGCACUGACCAGUACUGUUCAUGGCCUGUUAGGAACUGGGCUGCACAGCAGGAGGUGAGCGGCAGGCUAGCCAGCAAACCUUCAUCUGUAUUUAUAGCUCCCAUCACUUGCAUUACUCCCCAUCACUCCCCAUCACUUGCAUUACCACCUGAGCUCCACCUCCUCUCAGAUCAGCAGCAGCAUUAGAUUCUCAUAGGAGUGUGAACCCUACUGUGAACUGCACAUGCAAGGGAUCUAGGUUGUGCACUGUUUAUGAGAAUCUAAUGCCUGAUGAUCUGAGGUGCAGCUGAGGCAGCAUAGCUAGGAGGUAGGUAUUUUGUUGCUGGGGACUCAUAUCAAAACCCUAUCAGUGAGUGGCAAGUGACAAUUAAGCUGCAUCUGGUGGCAGACUUUAUAGAGGCAAGUGAGUCAAUGUAUUUCAAUUGCACAGCUCUAUCUGGUGGCAAGUUUUAAGUCAGAAUCUGACACUUAAUUUAGUCUGUGCAUGGCCUGCCCAUUAUUUUAUUUACCACUUCUGUCUGUGCCUCUUUGCUGCACUGAACACUUGUCUCAGUCACAGUUUUGGUAAGCCCACAAGCUAACCCUAGCUAAAAUGAGUAAAAAGCAAACGACACUGGAGAGCUUCUUUGAAAAGUCAGAGAGACCCAAUGAUGAGACAGCAGAAGACUCUUAAGACUGCCAACAAAAAGAAAGCUGCACUUAAAAGAAAAUACCAGACUGGGCGUGGUGGCUCACACCUGUAAUCCUAGCACUUUGGGAGGCUGAAGCAGGUGGAUCCCUUGAGGCCAGGAGUUUGAGACCAGCCAAGCCAACAUGGUGAAACCCAUGUUUCUAAAAAAAAAAAAAAAAAAAAUUAGCCGGGAAUGGUGGUGCGUGCCUGUAAUCUGAGCUACUCAGGAGCCCACUUUGUAUAUUAUGUGCUGACCCACUAUUCAAGGAAGCCAUGAAAACUUCAAAACUGCUUCACCACCUGGAGACCAAGCACCCUGCAUUAAAAGACAAGCCUUUGGAGUUUUUCUAAAGAAAAAACAUGAACACAGAGAACAGAAGUAAUUAUUGAAGGCCACUACUUCAUUAAGUGUGUCUGUACUGAGAGCAUCGUUCCUAGUGGCUAACCACGUUAUUAGGCUAAGAAGCCCUUUAGUAUUGGUGAAGAGUUGAUCCUGCCUGCUGCUAAGGACAUUUGUCAUGAACUUUUAGGAGAGGCUGCUGUUCAAAAGGUGGCACAUGUUCCUCUUUCAGCUAACACCAUAACUAGAAGAAUGGAUGAAAUAGCAGAGAAUAUUGAGGCACAAUUGUUAGAGAGGAUUAAUGAGUCACCGUGCUACACAAUCCACAAAAGGGUUUUGUCCCAGAAAUAGACUCAUACAUAUAUGAUCAGUGAUUUUCAACAGUGGUACAAAUGCAAGUCAGCGCAGAAAAAAUAAUCUCUUCAACAAAUGGUGCAGGAACAAUUGGAUAUCCAUAAAAUGAACUCGGAUCCACGCUUUGCACCAUAUGCAAAAAUUGACUCAAAAUAGGUAUAGGUCCUAGACCUAAAUGUAACAACCUGAAACUCUAAAAUUUCUCAGGAAAAAAAUGGGAUAAAAUCUUUGUGGUCUUGGAUUAGGCAAAGAUAUUUUCUUGUGUUUGUGGGUAAAGAAACCUUUAAUGAGGGUUCAAGGUGUAAGAGGAGGACCUUGUAGAGAGCCAGCGCUUAGCCCCAGCCUCCUCAUAUGCACAUGGCUCUGUAGAGGUUCUCCAGACAGUGCUGCUGCUGCUGUUUCGAGCCUUAUCUCCUCUGUGCUCCUC